CCCUUAGACGUUCUGGGCCGCACGCGCGCUACACUGACCAGUGCAACAAGCAUCCGUCCUUGGCCGACAGGCUCGGGCAAUCUUUGAACGCUGGUCGUGAUGGGGAUAGACUUUUGCAAUUUUUGGUCUUCAACGAGGAAUUUCUAGUAAACGCAAGUCAUCAACUUGCAUUGAUUACGUCCCUGCCCUUUGUACACACCGCCCGUCGCACCUACCGAUUGAAUGGUCCGGUGAAGCCUCCGGAUUGGCGCGCACCUCGGUGCCGCCGAGAAGUUGGCUAAACCUUACCAUUUAGAGGAAGGUGAAGUCGUAACA
rnacentral:rRNA from 1 species